rnacentral:rRNA from 1 species
UACGUAGGAGGCAAGCGUUGUCCGGAAUUACUGGGCGUAAAGCGCGUGUAGGCGGUCUGAAUAGUCUGCUGUGAAAGCGCCUGGCUUAACCGGGCGAGGUCGGCGGAAACUCUCAGACUGGAGGCCGGUAGAGGGGGGUGGAAUUCCCGGUGUAGUGGUGAAAUGCGUAGAUAUUCGCAGGAACACCAGUGGCGAAGGCGGCUUACUGGUCCAUAACUGACGCUGAGGUGCGAAAGCGUGGGGAGCAAACAGG